UACGUAGGGUGCAAGCGUUGUCCGGAAUUAUUGGGCGUAAAGAGCUCGUAGGCGGUCUGUCGCGUCUGGUGUGAAAACUCAGGGCUUAACCCUGAGCUUGCAUCGGGUACGGGCAGACUAGAGUGCGGUAGGGGAGACUGGAAUUCCUGGUGUAGCGGUGAAAUGCGCAGAUAUCAGGAGGAACACCAAUAGCGAAGGCAGCUCGCUGGGACGUUACUGACACUGAGGCGCGAAAGCGUGGGGAGCGAACAGG
rnacentral:rRNA from 1 species